rnacentral:rRNA from 1 species
GCAAGUCGAGCGAGAAAGUCUUUCGGGACGAGUACAGCGGCGGACGGGUGAGUAACGCGUAGGAAUCUACCUGGUAGUGGGGGACAACUCGAGGAAACUCGAGCUAAUACCGCAUACGCCCUUCGGGGGAAAGCGGGGGAUCUUCGGACCUCGCGCUAUUGGAUGAGCCUGCGUAAGAUUAGCUAGUUGGUGGGGUAAAGGCCUACCAAGGCGACGAUCUUUAGCUGGUCUGAGAGGAUGAUC